CCUACGGGUGGCUGCAGUCGAGAAUCAUUCACAAUGGGGGAAACCCUGAUGGUGCGACGCCGCGUGGGGGAAUGAAGGUCUUCGGAUUGUACACCCCUGUCAUGUGGGAGCAAAUUAAAAAGAUAGUACCACAAGAGGAAGAUACGGCUAACUCGGUACCAGCAGCCGCGGUAAUACAGAGUGCUCAAGCUUUGUUCGUAAUCACUGGGCGUAAAGCGUGCGUAGGCUGUUUCGUAAGUCGUGUGUGAAAGGCGAGGGCUCAACCCGCGGACGGCACAUGAUACUGCGAGACUAGAGUAAUGGAGGGGGAACCGGAAUUCUCGGUGUAGCAGUGAAAGGCGGAGAUAUCGAGAGGAACACUCGUGGCGAAGGCGGGUUCCUGGACAUUAACUGACGCUGAGGCACGAAGGCCAGGGGAGCGAAAGGGAUUAGAUACCCCUGUAGUC
rnacentral:rRNA from 1 species